rnacentral:lncRNA from 1 species
CCUUUCCUCUCGUAAAGGAUUCAGCAGCCUGCCAAAUUCCGGGUAUGACAGCUUUGAUCAACUUUGUAUAAUAACUGCAAGCAGACAUGUGGUGUGCACAGAGCGACUUAUUCUUUCACCUUUUUACUAAAGAGUUGUUUAACUCUUUAAGUCCGAGAUCUAAGAUUUGCGAUGCUUUGUAGUGUCGAUUAUUCUACUUUGUAUAUGAAUCAACAUGAAGGUACCAGUUCGAAUAAAAGGGCAUUUCCAUUUUUUAUUAGUGAUGGAUACAAAAGAAGUAGAGAUUUAGAAAUGUUGUGUUUGCCUGUAAAACCUGACUCUUAUUUUGCCUACAAAUUGCCUUCCAGCGGUUUCCAUAGCUAGACAGUGCUCCUUACACGAGGGAACAACAUAUUGAAAAGCCGAACUAAACAUUCUUCUUGAGUUCCUUUUCAUCUACACCGUUCCUUGUGUUUCGAUCUACACAUUCUAUAUUGAAUGCAUUCCAAAGGUUACACUAAUGUUUGAAUAAAAAUUAUUUAUGACAUUACAUAUUCCUAUUAAAAAAUUGUUUCUUACACAGAACAAAUUUUGUAAAAUUAUUAGACUCAAGUGCAUGUCUGCUUAAGUUGGGAAGGUCCGUGUCUAGUCUAUUUGAGGGUUUGGAUCUUUCAACCGGUCCAGAAUCCGGACUGCCCGCGUUUAUGGAUUUUUCUUCACCUAACACUAUUCGACAAUCAAUUUUCUAACUCGUGUGGUUUGAUUUUUUCUCCAGAUAAAGAAUAUUUCUCGUGAAUCCUUUCUCGGUCCCAACUAUUUUUACUCAUGUCAGUAGUAUACUAGUAUUAUUAUUACUUUUUAUGUUCGUUGACUGUUUUUAAAAUUUGGGUCAACAGAAAGAUAUUUUAUAACUAGAACUAUAAUUUUUUCUUUUAUUCAUUUGAAAGUAUCUCAGAAAGGUCAAACUGAUCUUCAAUUGGAGGUGCGUGAAAUCCAUUAUGGCUCUUCUAAUUUUCAAAUGAAUAUAAAGCGUAAUCUCAUAUCCAAGUGCCACAAAUUAAAUGUAAUAGGUUACUUUCGACACCAGGUAACUUAUCUCCCCAAAAUUCACAACACUUAAACCACUAUCUUAUGGUUUAAUUAAUUAAUUAAUUUUAAAAAAUUGGAUGCUUUUUUAAUAUCAGAAGUUAUUAUAUUGUUCAAACGAUCUGGUAAAUCAAACCGGAACAGAACUAUUAAUAGAAAAAGAUUCCUAUGAAAUGAUCUUAUAAUUCUAGGAAAAGAAUCAUCAGUUACAUUCUGAGUCCGAAGACUGUAGAUAAGUUUGAAAAUUGGAAUCUUCUUUGUAAUUUCGCUAUCUGCUUCAGCUUUGUAGAGAAGCUUGGCCAUGCAUGUGGUUCUCCAUCAUCGCAAUUACAUAUUUGCAGUAUGUUCUAAAGGUCUGACAUGUUGAAUGACAUAGUAUGCUAUCUAUUGCCCACGUGAGUGUUUUUAGUUUGCAGAGAUGGGUUUGGCAUCAUCCCCUAGAACCAUCCACUUCUCCUUUUAGUCAGCAACAAUGUUUUUAAGGCGGGCCAUCGCCUUAGCAUUGAACGCCUUCUUCACUUCCUCGUUCACACCAAGAGACCAAUUCCAUUUUUGCUGCCAAAAAUAAUUCAUUAAAAACACAAAUAAAUAAAUUUAAAAAAAAUAGAUAAAACAAAAUUUAAAUAAUUAAAAAUUACCGCAAAUCACAUGAACCAAGCCCUUUGAAUGUGUUCCGGUGUAAAAGACCAGUUCAGAUGCGCUUCAUGGAAGUAUGAUUUGAUGGUGUCCGAAACCUUCUGUCCCACGACAUUUUCCAUCAGAAACCUGCAAAAUAUGAAAAAUGUAAAUGUAAUAAAUGAAAACAAAACUGAAAUAAAUAAAUUUAAAACUACCAAUAAGUGUUUGGCGGUCUAUCGGGUUCAAAGAUGCGUAAACCUUCUCAACUAGGUAGCUGGAGGAGGUCCUCGACAGUAAACCUAGCAUACGGCGCAUCUGGUGGCACCAUCAAAUCCGGAUGGAUACCCCCAGGAGAAGGUGCUGGGGCAGCAUCAGGAGCUGAGGCAGCAUCAGGAGGAGAUGGCUGAGGCUGCUGAGGUAGAGGCUCAUACGGUGCAGGAGACACGUACAGGGGUAGAGGAGGAGGAGGCAUAGACUGCUGAGUCGUCUGCGGUUUUCCCUGAGAUUGGCUCUCAGGGACAAAAUCUGGUGCGAUGCAGUACCAGAGGAAGAAGCUGACGGAUCAACUCCCAUACCGAGAAACGUAGCCGCAUAAGUGGGUCUCAUGUUCCUAAGUCUCUUCCUACUACCAGCCAUCUAUUAGAAAAACAAACAAAUUGAAAUUAGUGAUUUUGAAAAAAAUAUUAUCCGUUAUAAAAAUUAUAUUUAUAAUCUAUUUAAUCUAAUUUCAUUACUAAACAAAUUAUGGAUCUAAUUUCAUUCCUAAACUAAAUUCCAUAUCUAAUCUAUAUACCAGCCUAAACUAACCACCUAAAAAAAACAAAAAAAAAACACAUACUUUAUGUAGAGAGAAGUCUGAGGGAAUGUUAGAGAGACAAAGGAGCAACCGGAAUAGGUCAACCAUGUUUUUAUUAAAUUAAAACAUCAAACAAAAUCCGUUGCAAUGCAGCAGGCCAUAUCUUGUUAUUUUAUAAAAAUAAACUUAUAAAAAUAAACUUUGUUUUAAACAAAGCCGGAUUAGCCGAUUAUACUGCAAAUAAACUUUGUUUUAAACUUUGCGGUUGAAUGUCUGAAAAUUUAAUUAUUUCAAUUAAAAAAAUUAGACGUCAUAACACAUUUUAUUUUUACAUAUCAACCGGAAACACUCAGAUAUAUAUAUUUAUGAAAUUUAAACAUAAUUAAUAUACCGAUAAGAAAUGAAAAAAAAAAUCCAACAUUUUCUGUUAACAUUGUUAAAAAAAUCUACUGAAGAAAACAAAUGAUUAAAAUAUCCAUCAUUAGAGGAUAAUUUAGAAAUUAGUAGAUUUUUUUUUUCAAUAGGAGCAAUCAGCUUUAACUACUACAUCAAUAUAUAUUAAGGAAAUAUCUAUCUAAUCUAUUAAAACUGAUGUACAAUUAAAAAUUAACCCUAGCUUUUUCCUAAUAUUUACAAUGGCAUGCCAUUGAAAUAUUUAUUAAACUUAUAUUUAAGUAUGUUUGUUUUUUCCUAAUUUUUUUUUUUUGACAGCAAGACAUUCACAGACUCAUAUUGACUAUGUGUUUUUUCUUAAUUUAAAUGAAUAGAUAUAAUCAUCUAAUGUCUUUCCUGAUUUAAAUUAUAGAUUUCUUUAAUCGAAUCUUAAUAAAAAUAGAUUUUUCCAUAAAUUUUUCCAUAAAUUUCUUAAUAUAUUUUUGUAUUAACAUAUUAAAUAUUUUUCGAUAUUUGUUAGUAAUAAAUAAUAAAGUAAAAAACCAUGUAUUAUAAUCAAUUCAUAUAAUAUAUAUAAAUAAAAUAUAAAAUAAUUUAUGAUACAUUGUGAUAUAAUAAACGAUAAAAUAAAAAAAAAUAUAAUGAUUCAAAGUAAUAAAUAAAUUAUCAUAUUUAAAAUUUUAUAUUAUCAAUUAGUUAAUAAAUUUUAAUUUACAAAUAUGUAUUCUACCAUUUAGUACAAAAAACAAUUUUUGAAGUGAAAACAAAUAUUCAGACGGUCACAUGUCAAACUUUACAAAUAAACAAUAACACCGCAAUAUGAUUUUUCUUUAACUAAUUUAUUUUAAUAAAAAUUAUAAUCCCAAUUUUUUUUAUAUAUUUCAGGAAUUUGGAAAAUUUAUUAUAUUUGUUUUAAGGGGUGCUACAAGUUUGGAAUUAGAAAUAAUUAUGACCCAAUCCUAUACUGUUUUAAUAUGGAUACUUGAAAUUUAUAUCAAACUUUUAUAUUAAAAUUUUAAUUUUAAUUUUUUUAUUACUGAAUAGUUUACUUUUUGAUCUAAGGUGAAUUGUUUUGUGAUAAACAUUUGGGUUUGUGAAAAUAAUUUAAAUAUAUACUACAAAACUUUAUGGAGUAAGAGCAAACAAAUAUAUGAUUUUAAAAAUCACGAAAUUAUCUUCAAAAAUGGUAGAAGAAGAAAAGAAAGAAGAGGACCAUACAUGUUGAUUAAAACAUUAUUUUCUUCAAAAAAAUCAUAAACGUUUGAAAAUAUGGUUAAUAUUAAGAAUAUUUACCAUUAACGGUAUAGAAAGAAGAUUUUACGUAUAUAAAAAUAUUGUUUAUAACUAACAAAACUGAUGAGUGUCUACAUUUUUUGAAUAAUUUCUUUCUUAUUUUUAUUUUAAUUGUUAAGUCUUAAUUAUCAACUGUAUGUAUUACUAGGGAUGGACACUUUGGUUAUUUUCUCGGUUCGGUUUAUAUUUGGUUUGGUUUGUAUUCGGUUUGAUUUGUAUUCGGUUCGUUUUAUUUUUUGGAUCGGUUUAAUUAGAUUCUUCUUAGUUUAUUUUUUCUAAGAGAAAUUAUGUUUUACAACAUAAAUUAUGUAAACAUAAACUAUGUGAACUAAAUUCAAUAUAAAACUCAAAACAAAAACCUUUAAAAAGUCACAAAAGUAUAUAUAAGAAUUAAAACAAAUGAAAGUUAAUUAAAGUAAAAAAAAAACCAACAUCAUUAAAAUUAAAAAGCCUCCAAUGAAUGAAAUAUUUUAAAGCAAAUAUUUUGAUGAUUACAUAUUAGGUUAGAAGAAUAUAUGUUAAUCAAUAAAAAAUGGAAAAUAUGUGGUUUAGUAUUAGAAUUUUAGUAUAUUGGUAUUACUAAUAUUUUUAAUUUAAAUAAUUACCUCGCUCCAGCUUCUGUUCUGUGCGGUCUAAUCCUCAGGGAUCAUAUUCUGACUUUGCUAAAGAAACGAGUGUUCUUAUCUAGUCCAGUGGCUUUUGACUCCAAUACACUUGCUCAGUUCAAGGCAGAUGAGUUUGCGAAGAAGGGUUCAGGGAGGGGUGAUAGGAUAGAGGAUGUGGAAUUAAGCGAGGAAGAAUUGAAUAUGUAUUUGGAUUUACACCCGUUCUCUAAUGCUUCUCCUUACACUGUUUUGGAAACGAUGUCACUUGCAAAGGCUCUUGUCCUCUUCCGUGAAGUUGGCCUAAGGCACAUACUGGUCAUACCAAAAUUAUCCAAUGUAAGUGAUCGUGGUUUCUCCUUUUAUAGCUGUUAUCAUCAUCAUCUUAUUAGAUUCUGAUAGGCACUAGAAUGUGAGGUGCUUGAUACAUAACAUGCUAAUACUAAAAAAAAUAGUUUAAAUAGAUGUGAGGGAGAACAGAUUAGAGACAUGUGAAUUUAUACAUUUGGUUUGUUUGUGAGAUUUUUGGGCUUUACAAGACUUUGGGGACUCUAUAGUCUACAUCAGAUAGCUCUUGGUUCAUCAGUGGUUUAAAGAGAUAAGUUAAGGAAACUGUUAUCAUCAUUGUGACUAUUGCAGCGACCUCCACUGGUGGGUAUAUUGACAAGGCAUGACUUCAUGCCAGAACAUAUACUAGGCCUGCGUCCAUCCUUGUCUAGAAGCAGGUGGAAAAGGCUUCGGAUUCGGCUGCCUUUCCUCUCGUAAAGGAUUCAGCAGCCUGCCAAAUUCCGCUUUGAUCAACUUUGUAUAAUAACUGCAAGCAGACAUGUGGUGUGCACAGAGCGACUUAUUCUUUCACCUUUUUACUAAAGAGUUGUUUAACUCUUUAAGUCCGAGAUCUAAGAUUUGCGAUGCUUUGUAGUGUCGAUUAUUCUACUUUGUAUAUGAAUCAACAUGAAGGUACCAGUUCGAAUAAAAGGGC